CGCAUGGUUCAAACAUAAAAGGYGGCUUGGCUWCCMCUUWCAGAUGGACCCGCGGCGCAUUAGCUAGUUGGUGAGGUAAUGGYUCACCAAGRMAAYGAUGCGUAKCCGACCUGAGAGGGUGAUCGGCCACACUGGGACUGAGACACGGCCCAGACUCCUMCGGGAGGCAGCWGUAGGGAAUCUUCYGCAAUGGACGAAAGUCUGACGGAGCAACGCCGCGUGAGUGAUGAAGGUUUUCGGAUSGUAAAGCUCUGYUGUUAGGGAAGAACAAGUACCGUUCGAAUAGGGCGGUACCUUGMCGGUACCUAACCAGAAAGCCACGGCUAACUACGUGCCAGCAGCCGCGGUAAUWCGUAGGUGGCAAGCGUUGUCCGGAAUUAUUGGGCGUAAAGGGCUCGCAGGCGGUUUCUUAAGUCUGAUGUGAAAGCCCCCGGCUCAACCGGGGAGGGUCAUUGGAAACUGGGGAACUUGAGUGCAGAAGAGGAGAGUGGAAUUCCACGUGUAGCGGUGAAAUGCGUAGAGAUGUGGAGGAACACCAGUGGCGAAGGCGACUCUCUGGUCUGUAACUGACGCUGAGGAGCGAAAGCGUGGGGAGCGAACAGGAUUAGAUACCCUGGUAGUCCACGCCGUAAACGAUGAGUGCUAAGUGUUAGGGGGUUUCCGCCCCUUAGUGCUGCAGCUAACGCAUUAAGCACYCCCCCCCAG
rnacentral:rRNA from 1 species